UGGGGAAUAUUGCACAAUGGGCGCAAGCCUGAUGCAGCAACGCCGCGUGAGGGAUGACGGCCUUCGGGUUGUAAACCUCUUUUAGCAGGGAAGAAGCGAAAGUGACGGUACCUGCAGAAAAAGCGCCGGCUAACUACGUGCCAGCAGCCGCGGUAAUACGUAGGGCGCAAGCGUUAUCCGGAAUUAUUGGGCGUAAAGAGCUCGUAGGCGGUUUGUCGCGUCUGCUGUGAAAUCCCGAGGCUCAACCUCGGGUCUGCAGUGGGUACGGGCAGACUAGAGUGCGGUAGGGGAGAUUGGAAUUCCUGGUGUAGCGGUGGAAUGCGCAGAUAUCAGGAGGAACACCGAUGGCGAAAGGCAGAUCUCUGGGCCCGUAACUGACGCUGAGGAGCGAAAAGGGUGGGGAGCAAACAGGCUUAGAUACCCUGGUAGUCCACCCCGUAAACGUUGGGAACUAGUUGUGGGGUCCAUUCCACGGAUUCCGUGGACGCAGCUAACGCAUUAAGUUCCCCGCCU
rnacentral:rRNA from 1 species